GAAGAGCCUAUAUAUGAGGACAUGGCAACCGAGAACCGCCGCAGGAUAGCGAUGUUGAAAACCAGCCGAUAGACCCCGAGUUAUGGAAAGAUGGCGAUAUUGUUACGAUAACCAAGCCGGGGCCAUACAAGAUUACUGCUUUGGUGUGUGACAAAUGGCCAACAGUUGCAGAGACAGAAACACCCGAGGAGGCUGCUGAAACUAUGAUUGACGGAGCCCUUGCCGGAGGUGAUUCAGAAACGAAGGACACAAACGGGGUGUCAAUGGUAAAACCCAAAGAACAUGGCGAGGAAGGUGCUACGGGGUCCGACGGUGCGUCAGCUGAGGAUGAUGAUAAUUCAGAAUCAGACGAGGACAUCUUCAGAGGCUGAAGAGAGGCGGCCUUUAAGCAGAACAACCGUAAUAUGUACCUGUUGUUUUUGUGUGAAGCAAGAUGUUAAAAAAAAGUCUGUAAAAAGUAAGGAGAGUGACCAGAAAAGCUGUGAAGAAGAAGAUGCCGUUAUGGUUGAUAUUAUUAGAGCUGUUGUAGUAAAAGCCUUUUACCACUGUUUGAAAAAACAACUUUUGGAAAACUGUGCAGCCUGCGCUGUAAAUAAGUCCAACCCUUUUAGUCACCCUUGUAUUUUUUGGGAUCGCUCAGAAGUAUUUUACCAGCUUAGACGUAUUUCUUCUAAACUGAAUGCGGCCCAGCUUGUAAAUAUAAUUAUAGCUGAAGGCUACAAACUGAAAAAG